rnacentral:rRNA from 1 species
GAGUUUGAUCCUGGCUCAGAACGAACGUUGGCGGCGUGGAUUAGGCAUGCAAGUCGAACGAGAAUCGGGGGCAACUCCGAGGAAAGUGGCGAAAGGGGCAGUAAUGCGUGGGUAACGUACCCUCCGGACCGAGAUAGCCACGGGAAACCGUGGGUAAUAUCGGGCGAUGUAACGAGGUCGCAUGGCCUUGUUACCAGAUGGUCCUCCGCCGGGGGAGCGGCCCACGUGGUAUUAGCUAGUUAGUGAGGUAACGGCUCACCAAGGCUUAGAUGCCUAGCGGGUGUGAGAGCACGACCCGCGCCACUGGCACUGAGACACUGGCCAGACACCUACGGGUGGCUGCAGUCGAGGAUCUUCGGCAAUGGGCGCAAGCCUGACCGAGCGACGCCGCGUGUGCGAUGAAGGCCUUCGGGUUGUAAAGCACUGUCGAGGGGGAGGAAGCCGCAAAGUUGACCUAUCCCUGAAGGAAGCACGGGCUAAGUUCGUGCCAGCAGCCGCGGUAAGACGAACCGUGCGAACGUUGUUCGGAAUCACUGGGCUUAAAGGGCGCGUAGGCGGAUCAUACAGUCUAGGGUGAAAUACUCCGGCUUAACCGGAGAACUGCCUUGGAUACUAAUGAUCUCGAGGGAG